rnacentral:rRNA from 1 species
UGUCUAAGUAUAAAUGGUAUACAGUGAAACUGCGAAUGGCUCAUUAUAUCAGUUAUAAUGUGCUUGGGUGUUUAAAGUUAAAUGGAUAACCUCGUUAAUUGUGAGGCUAAUACAUGCGAUGAAGAUUGUUUUUUAUGGCAACAUAAGAGCCAAUUUGACUUGAUAUUGAGUAUGAUUAUACUAAACCGAACUGAUAGCAGUUGUCAAAGACUGUUAUUAUUUUGUGAACAAUAUCAAUUAAAUUAAUCAUAUGGUUUUAAUACCGAUGAUAACCCAAUUUGAUUUCUGCCCUAUCAACUUUUGAUGGUAAUGUCGUGGCUUACCAUGGUUGUGACGGGUACCGGGGGCGUUUAGUCGGUUCCGGAGAGGGAGCUUGAGAUACGGCUACCACUUCCAAGGAAGGCAGCAGGCGCGCAAAUUACCCAAUUCCCAUCGAUUGGAGAGGUAGUGACCACAACUAUCAAGUGGAGACCAUUUUGGUUUCCUCAUUGAAAUGAUUGGCUUUUAAACUGUGCCAAGAGAACCCAUUGGAGGACAAGUCUGGUGCCAGCACCCGCGGUAAUUCCAGCUCCAAUAAUGUAUAGAAAAGUUGUUGCGGUUAAAAAGCUCGUAGUUGAAUAUUUGAUUAAGAUUUAUAGAGUAUCAAAGAGAUAAGCAAUUAUUUCUUGGUAUUCUUUCUUAAUUACUUUGUUAAUAAUGGAAUCUUUAGAAAUAGUGAUAUUUCUAAAAAAAUACUUUGAUCUUGAUGAAUAAUAAGCAAUUAUUGUUUAUUGACAUUGAUGUAGAUUUCAUUAUUUAUAUUACUUUGAACAAAUUAAAAUGAUCAAGAUAAACAUUUUUGUUUUGAAUAUUUUAGCAUGGGAUAAUGACUUUAGAAGCAUUGAAGUUAUUUAAGUUUGGUUUUGUAUGGCUUGCAAUGUUUAGAUUAAUAGGGAUAAUUGGGGUGAUUUAUAUUUAAUUGUUAGGGGUGGAAUUCUUGGAUUUCUUAAAGAUAAACUUGUGCGAAAGCAUUUCACAAAGGUGUUUUCAUUAAUCAAGAACGAAAGUUGGGGGAUCGAAGACGAUCAGAUACCGUCGUAGUCUCAACCAUAAGCUAUAUCAACCAGAGAUUGGAUAAUGUUAUAUCAAUUUUGAGUGCUUGUCAUUCAGAAUAUUACCUCUUCCAGCAUCUUAUUAAGAAAUUACAAGUGUUUAGAUUUCGGGGGGAGUAUGGUCGCAAGGCUGAAACUUAAAGGAAUUGAUGGAACGGGAAACAAUGAGUGGAGCCUGCGGCUUAAUUUGACUCAACACGGGAAAACUUACCAGAGCCCGACGGGAGAAGGAUGGACAGAUUAAUAGCUCUUUCUUGAUUUCUUGGGUGGUGGUGCAUGGCCGUUCUUAGUUGGUGGAGUGAUUUGUCUGGUUAAUUCCGAUAACGAACGAGAUCUCUUUUGUUAACUAUGAGUUCAUAUACUUGUUAUAUGUAAUUCAUCAUUAUCAAGACUAUUUUAUGUUUCCAAUAAAUGGAAGUUUGAGGCAAUAACAGGUCUGUGAUGCCCUUCGAUGUUCUGGGCUGCACGCGUGCUACAAUGAUAAGUUCAAAGAGUUAAGAAAGGAGUAGUAUUCUGUACUACUUCUUUCAUUUCGAGAGUGAAAACUCAAGAUAAUCUUUUAAAUCUCAUCGUGCUGGGGAUUGAUGAUUGUAAUUAUUGAUCUUGAACGAGGAAUUCCUUGUAAAUAAAAGUCAUCAACUUUUGUUGAUUAUGUCCCUUCCCUUUGUACACACCGCCCGUCGCUCCUACCGAUUGAAUAGAUUGAUAAAAAGAGGGGACCUUUGUUUCUUUGAGACUUUGCAACCUUUUUAAAUCAUACUAUUUAGAGGAAGGAGAAGUCG